UAUGGGUAUGAUACGACCUG
rnacentral:miRNA from 1 species